AUGAGUUUUGUUCUGUAAAAGGGUUGGAUCCGACGCCUCUAGAAGGCUACUAUAGGCUCUCCUUCUCAACUCCUACUCAAUACGUCCACGUCGUGCAGAACGGUAACUUGUUGCUCAGAUCCAAGCUUGGGUACACGGGGAAACCCAACCCCUCGGGCGGAUGAGCGGCAA
rnacentral:ribozyme from 1 species